rnacentral:lncRNA from 1 species
CCUUCAUCUGCAUUACAUUUUUGAGACUCAAAUGUGGAUGACAUGGGACAUUUUUGUACAACUCUUUCUCAUCUUAGUGGUCAAAAAAGUCAAGGAAAUAUCAAAAAAUGGAAAUGUUUGGCAGACAUUCUUAGAUAUUUGCUAAGGGUUCAUGCAUGUGUAUAUAUAACAUAAACUUAUGUGAAUUUUAAAAGUCUCCAUCUUGGUCUAGCACCCAAAAAUUGUGCACACCCACCUACACGGGCAUGCGCUAGUCAAUGACUAAUCAGAAAUAACUAACUGCCCACCUGGGCUGUCCUAAGCCAAGCUAGAGCCAACCAUUGGAUUUGUGAGACACAGGAAGAGAGGUAGGGAACAGCCUCUGAGAUUGGCGGAACUUCCUGUGGAGAGAGCUAGGGGGAGUUGGUGUUAGGAGCUUGGAGAGAGAGGACGCCCGCAGACAGCUUUCCUUCAGAUCGGUCACGUGAGUUAAGGACUGGUUCUUUCCACCUGGGCCUUUGGGCCUAAAACUCCCCCUGCCUUGGUCAGAGGUUGAGUAGCCUCUUUCCCUUUUCUCUUCUCUCCUUCUCUCCCUAACCUUUUCCCUACUCCCAGUGUGAUUAAACCUUCAUAAACCUCAUUCUGACUUGAGUGUUUCAUUUUAGGAAUUUCAUAAGUAAAUUCCUUGGCGGCCAUUGUUAAAUAUUAUAUAAAUCUUGUAGCCACAUUUGUAACCAUUACUAUAUUAUAACCUUCUCCCAGAAGCCUUAAAUUUCCCCAUUACAGUUUUGGCUAACCACUACGGGAAAAAGAACCUUAUCAGUCUUCUGAUCUCCUUACUAUCACCUGGGAGAAAUCCCACCCCGGCUACCCCCCCCUGGCUCUUGGCCCUGCCUUAGUGCUUGGAAGGUUUCUAGAACCUCAAUAAAUUUCCUGAAUUUUCUUGCCUUUUCAACCCACUUAUUGCUCACUCCCUCAGUCCUGUUACCAAAUACCUUGGCUUAAAGACACAGCUGCCAGAACAGGAAUUACAGCACAAACUGCGUGAGCUACAUGAAUCCGGAGCUGCAGUACAAGCUGGACCACUAGACUUCUCCCUUCACGACCUGAACCCAGGAGACAACGUGUAUAUUAAGAAUUUCAAGCGUACUGGAGCAACUGAACCUUCAUGGGAAGGACCAUUCCAAAUAUUGUUAACUACUCCAACAUCUAUAAAGGUUGGAGAAAAGGACUCUUGGAUUCACUGUUCUCAUGUAAAGAGAGCAUCUUCUGUUGAGACUGAUUGACUCUAUCCUAUACAUGCAUUGGAGAUAACUACCCAUUGACAAGUGGAACUGUUUUAUUCUGCUUUUGACACAUUGA